rnacentral:rRNA from 1 species
GACGAACGCUGGCGGCGUGCUUAACACAUGCAAGUCGAACGGUGAAGCGCCUUCUUUUUUGGCGGGUGUGGUUGAGUGGCGAACGGGUGAGUAACACGUGAGUAACCUGCCCCCUUCUUCUGGUUAACCGCAGGAAAUGUUGGCUAAUACGGGAUUUUCUGGUGCUUUCUCAUGAUGGGUCGGGUAAGGUUGUUGUUCCGGUGGGGGAGGGGCGCGCGGCCGAUCAGUUUGUUGGUGGGGUGGUUGCCUACCAAGGCGGUGACGGGUAGCCGGCCUGGGAGGGUGGACGGUCUCACUGGGACAGAGACACGGCCCAGACUCGUACGGGAGGCAGCAGUGGGGAAUAUUGCACAAUGGGCGCAAGACUGAUGCAGCGAGGCCGCGUGAGGGAUGGAGGCCUUCGGGUUGUGAACCUCUUUCGCCAGUGAAGCAGGCCUGCCUCGUUUGUGGGUGGGUUGACGGUAGCUGGAUAAGAAGCGCCGGCUAACUACGUG